rnacentral:rRNA from 1 species
CCCAGACUCCUACGGGAGGCAGCAGUGGGGAAUAUUGCACAAUGGGGGGAACCCUGAUGCAGCGACGCCGCGUGGGUGAAGGAGCACCUCGGUGCGUAAAGCCCUAUCGGCAGGGAAGAAAAGCGAACAGGUUCGCCUGGACGGUACCUGACUAAGAAGCCCCGGCUAACUACGUGCCAGCAGCCGCGGUAAUACGUAGGGGGCAAGCGUUAUCCGGAUUUACUGGGUGUAAAGGGAGCGUAGACGGCGGUGCAAGCCAGAUGUGAAAGCCCGGGGCUCAACCCCGGGACUGCAUUUGGAACUGUGCUGCUAGAGUGUCGGAGAGGCAGGCGGAAUUCCUAGUGUAGCGGUGAAAUGCGUAGAUAUUAGGAAGAACACCAGUGGCGAAGGCGGCUUUCUGGACUGAAACUGACGCUGAGGCACGAAAGCGUGGGGAGCGAACAGGAUUAGAUACCCUCGUAC